rnacentral:rRNA from 1 species
GUAGGUGGCAAGCGUUGUCCGGAAUUAUUGGGCGUAAAGCGCGCGCAGGCGGUCCUUUAAGUCUGAUGUGAAAGCCCACGGCUCAACCGUGGAGGGUCAUUGGAAACUGGGGGACUUGAGUACAGAAGAGGAAAGCGGAAUUCCAAGUGUAGCGGUGAAAUGCGUAGAGAUUUGGAGGAACACCAGUGGCGAAGGCGGCUUUCUGGUCUGUAACUGACGCUGGGGCGCGAAAGCGUGGGGAGCAAACAGGAUUAGAUACCCUGGUAGUCCACGCCGUAAACGAUGAGUGCUAAGUGUUAGGGGGUUUCCCGCCCCCUUAGUGCUGCAGCUAACGCAUUAAGCACUCCGCCUGGGGGAUACGGCCGCAAGGCUG